UUGCAUGUCUAAGUAUAAGCAAUUAUACCGCGAAACUGCGAAUGGCUCAUUAUAUAAGUUAUCGUUUAUUUGAUAGUACCUUACUACUUGGAUAACCGUGGUAAUUCUAGAGCUAAUACACCCGACUUCGGAAGGGAUGUAUUUAUUAGAUUAAAAACCAAUGCCCUUCGGGGCUCACUGGUGAUUCAUGAUAACUCCUCGAAUCGCAUGGCCUUGUGCCGGCGAUGGUUCAUUCAAAUUUCUUCCCUAUCAACUUUCGAUGUUUGGGUAUUGGCCAAACAUGGUUGCAACGGGUAACGGAGGGUUAGGGCUCGACCCCGGAGAAGGAGCCUGAGAAACGGCUACUACAUCCAAGGAAGGCAGCAGGCGCGCAAAUUACCCAAUCCCGACACGGGGAGGUAGUGACAAUA
rnacentral:rRNA from 1 species